GUUAGGAAUAUUGGACAAUGGGCGAAAGCCUGAUCCAGCCAUGCCGCGUGAACGAUGAAGGCCUUCGGGUUGUAAAGUUCUUUAGCCGAUGAUUAUAAUGACUGUAGUCGGAAAAUAAGCCCCGGCUAACUUCGUGCCAGCAGCCGCGGUAAUACGAAGGGGGCGAGCGUUAUUCGGAAUUACUGGGCGUAUAGCGUGCGUAGGCGGUUUUGUAAGUUAGGAGUGAAAGCCCAGGGCUCAACCUUGGAAUUGCUCUUAAAACUGCAAGGCUCGAAUCUCGGAGAGGAUAGCGGAAUUUCCAGUGUAGCAGUGAAAUGCGUAGAUAUUGGAAGGAACACCAGUGGCGUAAGCGGCUAUCUGGACGAGUAUUGACGCUGAGGCACGAAAGCGUGGGGAUCAAACAGGAUUAGAAACCCCGGUAGUCC
rnacentral:rRNA from 1 species